AUACGGAGGGUCCAAGCGUUAUCCGGAAUCAUUGGGUUUAAAGGGUCCGUAGGCGGGCAAUUAAGUCAGAGGUGAAAUCCCACAGCUCAACUGUGGAACUGCCUUUGAUACUGGUUGUCUUGAAUUAUAGUGAAGUAGAUAGAAUAUGUAGUGUAGCGGUGAAACGCUUAGAUAUUACAUAGAAUACCGAUUACGAAGGCAGUCUACUAACUGUAUAUUGACGCUGAUGGACGAAAGCGUGGGGAGCGAACAGGAUUAGAAACCCCAGUAGUCC
rnacentral:rRNA from 1 species